UUUCCGUAGGUGAACCUGCGGAAGGAUCAUUACCGAGUUUUGAAAGGGGGACUUGAGCUGGCCUCUCGGGGCAAGUGCUCGGUCCUCUGCUCAAUCCAUCUACCCCUGUGCACCUAUUGUGGGUACUAUGUCGCUGAAGGGGGGCUGGCUAACGGCCUUUUGGAUCCGCAUAUACUCAUGUUUUGCACACUACGCAUGUCCUAGAAUGUCUUUUUUUGCGAUAAUCGCAUGUAAAUAAAACUUUCAACAACGGAUCUCUUGUCUCUCGCAUCGAUGAAGAACGCAGC
rnacentral:misc_RNA from 1 species